rnacentral:rRNA from 1 species
AGCGUAGGCGGCGGAGCAAGUCAGAAGUGAAAGCCCGGGGCUCAACCCCGGGACGGCUUUUGAAACUGCCCUGCUUGAUUUCAGGAGAGGUAAGCGGAAUUCCUAGUGUAGCGGUGAAAUGCGUAGAUAUUAGGAGGAACACCAGUGGCGAAGGCGGCUUACUGGACUGACAAUGACGCUGAGGCUCGAAAGCGUGGGGAGCAAACA